UAUACACUUCUUAGGAAUAUGAGUUUUGC
rnacentral:piRNA from 1 species